rnacentral:rRNA from 1 species
UACGUAGGGUGCAAGCGUUGUCCGGAAUUAUUUGGGCGUAAAGAGCUCGUAGGCGGUUCGUCGCGUCGGCUGUGAAAUCCCGAGGCUCAACCUCGGGUCUGCAGUCGAUACGGGCGGACUGGAGUUCGGCAGGGGAGACUGGAAUUCCUGGUGUAGCGGUGAAAUGCGCAGAUAUCAGGAGGAACACCGGUGGCGAAGGCGGGUCUCUGGGCCGAUACUGACGCUGAGGAGCGAAAGCGUGGGGAGCGAACAGG